UUUCCUUCGUAUCACGUGCAUUUUGUACAAUUUUAUUGAAAUUGGAUUACAAGAGCCAAGCAAAUCGAACAUCAAACGGACUACGCGUCGUGUGUUACUUUAUAGGAAAAUCACGACAAUGUCUGUAACAUUCGUAGUAUUUUACGAUCCUAUCUACGAUAGCAAUUAAAAGUUCAUCAAACAGAUGAUUACAUCACGUACAAGCCAUUUGAAAGUCAAAUUGUUCCAUUUUCCGAAAAUUUAUUCUUUCUAACUCUUUAAGAGUAUUACAUCGUGGCUUAUUAACAUACUAAAUAAUAAUUGACUGUUCGAAUAGUUUGAUGAUUUUUGGAAAGUACGUGUCCCUGAUAAAUAUAACUUCUAUGCACACUUCCAAAUCCGUUUGAAAUUUCACCGAUACGAUCAAGUUAAGCGUGUCUCGCUACAGUGCUGCAAUGAUCAUUUCGAAAUGCUUCGUAUAUCAUAUACGCAAAAAGUUUCCAGCAACGUUGAAACAGCUUCGCGAGCCACGUGUAAUUUAUUUAUAAAAGAUUUUUGCAACUGUCGAGACAUCUUGGUAUCUGUUAAUAAUCGUUGAGAUAUCAUUGCAAUCAAGUAAUUGCACUGUAUCAUACGCGAUAACGAAGUUACUCGAUUAUUCGAAUGGUAUGUACUGGGAUUAGUUUCGAUGGAUGUUUGAAUGAUGACGGAAUAUUUGGCCAGCAUAAGCACUGAUCCCUUCCAUAUCGAUCGCGUUUAUCGAUAUUUGAUAAAGAGGUCGUUUGCAAAUUACAUUUACCGUCUACUGUUGCUCACGAAAUUAUUCCAACUCUGAUACGUGCUUCUUUAUAAAUAUAUCGCGUGUGUACGUGUAUGUUACAUAUUAUAUUACAUAUCGCAUAUUACAUAUUAUAUUGCAUUUUAAGUAACAAGAUAUUUAGUGCGAGUGUAUAUUUUGCAGAAAUUCCAAACGUGAUUAAACAGUCAAUUAUCCAUCACAUCGAUGCAUCUCAAUGUUCAAUGGGACGGUAUUUAGCGUCUAUAACAUGUUGAAGAUCUUUAUGGUGUAUCUCGUGGAGGAAAUUAAUUUCACGAAAUUAAUUAAACAGUCAAUUAUCUGUUGUACCGAUACAUCUUGAUAUUCAAUGGAAUAAUUUUUGAUAUUUAUUGAUGAUUUCAAAUUCUACCAAUGUGAUCGGGAUAGUCGUGUUUCGUUACAAAACGAACAAAAUCCCGAAGUCUCGUGUAACGGGCUAUAGGAGGCGUUGGUGCGUUCUUUAAAACAGAAUAACUUUUCAAAAAUUGAGUCAAACAAUUUGUUUCUUUCCUUUUUUCUUUUUUUUUUUUUUUACGAGUUAGACUCAUUGGAAAGAUUAACAAUAGGUUACGUGUAAAGAAAUGUUGAAAGAAGUACAAUUAGUCGGAAUAGCGAAGAAGGAAGUAAAGGUAGCUUUUUACAACUUUUCUAGCUGGACCUGUAACGAAGAUUUAAAUAACGCAUUUCGAAGAUUUCCUCUAACUCGUCGAGCAAAAUUCAAAUGGUUCGGUCCAGAGUUGCAGACGAGUUAUUUCGUUCGAAUGAACGUACGAAACGAAAGAUAUUUUUACGGCGAGUGUCGGACUAUUUUAGCUUUCGAGGCAUUGUAAGUUGAAUUUUAGUUGCGGUGUCGACAAAUCAUUGAUUCAGUGACAGUGAAUUUUCUUUUUUCUGGGUGUGAUGCGAAUGCGCAGAAACUUUGAAACGUUCCCGCUGAACGAACAGGACCUUCCGGCUGCCAUGGAUAUUGAUUUUCCAUGGGCUUCAAGGUUUCUGGAGCAGCUGUACCCAUCCAGCGCAGACUCUGGCUAUUCUCAAUAUGGCUGUCUAUUGUACCCAAAUCCGCUCGUUUUGCGUUGCAACGCGCUCGCCGCCAUACACCAGCAUGCGAUCAAUGCGCCAAGGACAUCAGCCGAUCGCAAUUUAAACAGCCGAAUUUAUUUUCGAAUGUGACGCGCUAGACGUUAUCAACAUGGCCGAUACAUGUACCCUGUCACGUACUUCCUGAUCGUCGCGUCUAUCUCCAUGGUCGCCAACUGUUAACUACGGAACAUCGAACUCACGCAGCGUCGGAACGAGCAAACGAUUUAUGGUGUCAUCAGUGUGAUACAAUGGAAGAUGGAGAGAGAUGCGCCAAUCUGACCGGAAACUUCACCACUUUCGGGCACAAGUGCACUGGUGAUAAAAGGACCUGUAUGGUAAUGACAAAUGAUAACAGCGAUUCGAACGCUUGUUGAUUAUACACAGGUCACGCACGUGUUUCAGCAGAUGUUUGAUAUUUUGCUUUGAUCGCGUGCUUUUAAAGCAAACAGAAUAUAGCAAACAGCUAGCUAAAAGCGAUAUUAGUUAUCGUCAACACGAGAGCGAGAGAAGGCUGUUCAAGAUAGAGACACAGUUUCAUUUCGUUCAUAACGCGAUUAGUGUUUGGAAAUGUUCAAUAUAGUCGAUCAAUUCAGUUUCAUAAUAAUUACGUACUUUAUUGAAAUUGAAUCCGCUUUAUAGGAACAUAUGUACAUGGUGUACACAUUUGAGGGAAUAUGCAAAUGCAAUUUUUUAUUUGUUCUUCUUAUUUAUUGGUAAUCAACAAUGAUAUUGGAUAUGAUAUAAUUGUACAGUUUGCACAUACACGGCAAAAAUAUUACGAAAUCCGUAAUCGAUAUUAGCCGACCGAAUUAACAAUGAACGAACCGUAUUCUCUGGAAAUGAUGCGAGAUAUUCUGGAAAAUUGAUAUUCCCUCGACUAAAAAUAUGUUACGUUCACACUCACUCGUGUUCGUUACAAGUUCCAAUGUGAAAUGUCAUACAGAGUGAAACAAGGAAUUGUUGCAAAUAUUAAUUUAAUUUUAGUAUCAAGAAUCAUUCUACGUACAUGUAGAAUUCUUUCUCAUCUUUUCUUUUCAGUCUUCUUUUUUCUCUUUUCGCUCGAUACUAUCAAGUUCGUGGUUUAAUGCUGCCCAAAAUGAGCUCGUACU